AUCAAAAAAUACAGAAAAAAUCAACAACAAAAUUACACUAUAUGAUGUAAACACGCUAGACAACAAGUUUAACAAAAAAAUGUAAGUAUUUAGUCGAAAAACUAACCGAACAAAACCCCUAGAAUUUGGGAUUCAACAGAAGCACGGACAAAAAUCGAGGAGGGUAACAUCGAUCGAAAGCUGAUGACGAGGAGAGCAAGAAUAUACCCGCUCUGAUACCAUGUCAACAUUGUAGCUCGUCGGAUUGAAGAAAGAAAGGAAGAAGAAGAUGAACAGUGUAAAAGGAAAGAGAAGAGAGAAAAAUCUGAAAUGUAUUGAAAANNN
rnacentral:lncRNA from 1 species